GACGUAGGGCGCGAGCGUUGUCCGGAUUUAUUGGGCGUAAAGAGCUCGUAGGCGGCUUGUCGCGUCGACUGUGAAAUCCCGCGGCUCAACUGCGGGUCUGCAGUCGAUACGGGCAGGCUAGAGUUCGGUAGGGGAGACUGGAAUUCCUGGUGUAGCGGUGAAAUGCGCAGAUAUCAGGAGGAACACCGGUGGCGAAGGCGGCUACCUGGACAGAAACUGACGCUGAGGCGCGAAAGCUAGGGGAGCAAACAGG
rnacentral:rRNA from 1 species